rnacentral:rRNA from 1 species
UACAGAGGGUGCAAGCGUUAAUCGGAAUUACUGGGCGUAAAGCGUGCGUAGGUGGUUUGUUAAGUCUGUUGUGAAAGCCCCGGGCUCAACCUGGGAAUGGCAAUGGAUACUGGCAAGCUAGAGUGCGGUAGAGGGUAGUGGAAUUCCCGGUGUAGCGGUGAAAUGCGCAGAUAUCGGGAGGAACACCGGUGGCGAAGGCGGUUCUCUGGGCCUUACCUGACGCUGAGGAGCGAAAGCGUGGGGAGCAAACGGG